GCUUUCUUUUGGCAGCCCAUAUACUAAAAUUGGAUCAGUACAGAGAAGCUUAGCAUCACCCAUUUGGAAGGAUGGCAUGCAAAUAUGAGAAGCAUUCCAUAAUUUU